ACGCUGGCGGCGUGCCUAAUACAUGCAAGUAGAACGCUGAAGGAGGAGCUUGCUCUUCUGGAUGAGUUGCGAACGGGUGAGUAACGCGUAGGUAACCUGCCUGGUAGCGGGGGAUAACUAUUGGAAACGAUAGCUAAUACCGCAUAACAGUAGAUGUUGCAUGACAUUUGCUUAAAAGGUGCAAUUGCAUCACUACCAGAUGGACCUGCGUUGUAUUAGCUAGUUGGUGAGGUAACGGCUCACCAAGGCGACGAUACAUAGCCGACCUGAGAGGGUGAUCGGCCACACUGGGACUGAGACACGGCCCAGACUCCUACGGGAGGCAGCAGUAGGGAAUCUUCGGCAAUGGACGGAAGUCUGACCGAGCAACGCCGCGUGAGUGAAGAAGGUUUUCGGAUCGUAAAGCUCUGUUGUAAGAGAAGAACGAGUGUGAGAGUGGAAAGUUCACGCUGUGACGGUAUCUUACCAGAAAGGGACGGCUAACUACGUGCCAGCAGCCACGGUAAUACGUAGGUCCCGAGCGUUGUCCGGAUUUAUUGGGCGUAAAGCGAGCGCAGGCGGUUAGAUAAGUCUGAAGUUAAAGGCUGUGGCUUAACCAUAGUACGCUUUGGAAACUGUUUAACUUGAGUGCAAGAGGGGAGAGUGGAAUUCCAUGUGUAGCGGUGAAAUGCGUAGAUAUAUGGAGGAACACCGGUGGCGAAAGCGGCUCUCUGGCUUGUAACUGACGCUGAGGCUCGAAAGCGUGGGGAGCAAACAGGAUUAGAUACCCUGGUAGUCCACGCCGUAAACGAUGAGUGCUAGGUGUUAGACCCUUUCCGGGGUUUAGUGCCGCAGCUAACGCAUUAAGCACUCCGCCUGGGGAGUACGACCGCAAGGUUGAAACUCAAAGGAAUUGACGGGGGCCCGCACAAGCGGUGGAGC
rnacentral:rRNA from 1 species